rnacentral:rRNA from 1 species
CCUACGGGGGGCUGCAGUGGGGAAUAUUGGACAAUGGGGGGAACCCUGAUCCAGCCAUGCCGCGUGUGUGAAGAAGGCCCUCGGGUUGUAAAGCACUUUCAGUGAGGAAGAACGCCUGUUGGUUAAUACCCAUCAGGAAAGACAUCACUCACAGAAGAAGCACCGGCUAACUCCGUGCCAGCAGCCGCGGUAAUACGGAGGGUGCGAGCGUUAAUCGGAAUUACUGGGCGUAAAGCGCGCGUAGGUGGCUUGAUAAGCCGGUUGUGAAAGCCCCGGGCUCAACCUGGGAACGGCAUCCGGAACUGUCAAGCUAGAGUGCAGGAGAGGAAGGUAGAAUUCCCGGUGUAGCGGGGAAAUGCGUAGAGAUCGGGAGGAAUACCAGUGGCGAAGGCGGCCUUCUGGACUGAAACUGACGCUGAGGUGCGAAAGCGUGGGUAGCAAACAGGAUUAGAUACCCCAGUAGUC